GAUUUCAACUUGAAAAAGACAUUAACAACAAAUUGUAUAACUCAUCAAGAUCUAUAACUUUUAUUUUUAUUAUUUCUUCAUCCGACAAAGUGAUAGUAACAUUGUUUAUAAAAUUUACAUAUCUCUCAUUUGGUUUUAUAAACUAUAAGAGAGAUGUAAAUUUUGUGAACAAUAUUACUAUCAUUUUGUCGGAUGAAGAAAUGACCAAAAUAAAAGUUGUAUGUCUUGAUGAGUUCUACAACUUUUAUGUUCAUGACUUUUUCAGCUGAAAUU
rnacentral:pre_miRNA from 1 species